AGGCGGUAUGGAAGUUAAAAAUCGUAACAAGGUUUCCGUAGGUGAACCUGCGGAAGGAUCAUUA
rnacentral:rRNA from 1 species